rnacentral:rRNA from 1 species
CCCUUCGAUGUUCUGGGCCGCACGCGCGCUACACUGAUGCGUUCAGCAAGCCUUUAACCUUCACCGAUAGGUGCGGGUAAUCUUCUGAAAGCGCAUCGUGUUUGGGCUAGAUGAUUGCAAUUAUUCAUCUUCAACGAGGAAUACCUAGUAAACGCAAGUCAUCAACUUGCAUUGAUUACGUCCCUGCCCUUUGUACACACCGCCCGUCGCUCCUACCGAUUGAAUGCUCAGGUGAGCCAUUCGGACUUUCAUCAUGCUGGUUUCCAGUUUUGAUGAAGGAAAGUCUUGCGAACCUUAUCAUUUAGAGGAAGGAGAAGUCGUAACA